rnacentral:misc_RNA from 1 species
AUUAGGCUCUUCAGUCUAAUCUUGAAUAGGGUCUACACAAUUCAGUUUAUUUCUAAAGCCCUUAAAACUUUUCCUUCUAGAAAGUGUAUGAGGCACUUUAGUCAUAUAUGAAGAGACUCCGCAAAAGCUAGAGGAAGUCAACACACAUUAAGUGAUCCUGUUAUAGAUAUAAAACUAUUAUUGUGGCACUCACUACAAGCUUGAGUUUUUAGGUAGUGGUUUAUUAACAUGGUAUUA